UUGGUCCUUCCUUGAUUUUUUUGCACCUGUGUCUCGUCUCACCUCCCCGAGGGUAUUUAGUCUGGGUCUCUUCUUUGUUCAGGGUUGGAUCAUCGUUGUACACAUGGUGUUGUUCCUGCCGAGCAUUGUUACCGUGAGUUUGUGUGGGAUUCUUUGUUCUUCUGUGGACCUUGGUUGGACUUUUGGAUUUUGCCUGCUCCCUUGUCAACUGUUUUCCACCUUGGACUCACUCCCCUGCUUUCACCUCUGCCAGCCGGUGAAUCACGACUCCCUGCUGAGACAUCCCUCAAGCCUAAAGUCAUUGAAAAUGCAAAACACUUGACUUCAUCAGCUGAGGUCUGCUCCCUUGUGAAAGCAACUAAAAGGCUCUGAGACGAUGACCCUGAAACCACCAUACUGCAACAUUAAUGACCAACUAAGGGGAAGAAAGGGUCAGCAGCUCUUCCUCCUUGCUGUAGGCAACACUUUGGUGUGAACAAACAGCUCAUCCCCCUGCCAGGGAACCAGCUCCCUAGCUGUAUUCAAUGAACACUUUGAAUCCCACUUUGUGUUCAGCCUGUCCCAUGAAGAGUCCCUGGCCCAGAUUCACACCUUUGUGCAGACAGCUGUUCAUAACAUCAACGUUGGAACAACAACUGAGACCCCUAGAGUUUGUGAACUCUAGGUGGGCAAAACUUCUCAACCAGAAGUAAGGGAGGUGAAUUUCAGGAUGUUUGUGUGUUUCAUUUGUCAGACCUUGCAUGUGAGCAGCCAGUCACUGGUAUCUCAGUUAUGAACUCUCUCUACCUCAGAUUAAGGCUGAAGUUUAUUUGGGAAGAUGUUUGUCAGUUUUCAGUUUUCUCUGGUUUCACAAUCUAAGGGAUGCAACGUGCAGGAUGUUGAGGCGUUUCAUUUGUCAGGCCUUGAAUUUGAGCAGCCAGUUACUGUUAACUCUUUCGUGCUUACCAUAGCUUUUCACUGGGAGACAUCACUAUUAAAACACACCGGAAAUGGACCAAUAAAACCACUCAGUCUAAGUGAUGUGGAUAGUGGUGGGAUGCUGGCUAGGUUGCUUGAUGUCAAUAUGCAUAAAGACAUUUUCUCAACUAACUGGGUGAAGCUGAAUAGGACAGAACAAAAGAGGCCUGGUCAUCUGCCAUUCCAUUGAGGGUGAAAUGGCAGUGUUCUCUAAAAUAACUAAAUACUUUUGGUAGACUCUGUUAUCUACAUUAUUGUCAGUGAACAUUGUCAUGCCAACAAAACAGAGUAUUAGAUGGAGAACAGAAGGAUGUUAUCAAAGCUGACACUGCAGAUUUAUAAACUUUUUGAUGUACAAUGUGCAUAUGGUUCAGAUGAUGGCCUAUAUACUGUGCCUUUGUUCUCAUUGGUCUAAGUUGUGUUUGCAUUGCUCAUUGCGACUUUAUUUCAUUGUAUAACCUUAAGUCUAUGUUCCCGGUGCCUAUCAUAUUUUUAGUAGAGUCAAAAUGAAUUUGUGUAAAACAGACAGUUCAUAGAUCAAUAAAUGUCAUUUUG